CCUACGGGAGGCAGCAGUGGGGAAUAUUGCACAAUGGGCGAGAGCCUGAUGCAGCGACGCCGCGUGAGGGGUGACGGCCUUCGGGUUGUAAACCUCUUUCAGCAGGGAAGAAGCGAAAGUGACGGUACCUGCAGAAGAAGCGCCGGCUAACUACGUGCCAGCAGCCGCGGUAAUACGUAGGGCGCAAGCGUUGUCCGGAAUUAUUGGGCGUAAAGAGCUCGUAGGCGGCUUGUCACGUCGGGUGUGAAAGCCCGGGGCUUAACCCCGGGUCUGCAUUCGAUACGGGCUAGCUAGAGUGUGGUAGGGGAGAUCGGAAUUCCUGGUGUAGCGGUGAAAUGCGCAGAUAUCAGGAGGAACACCGGUGGCGAAGGCGGAUCUCUGGGCCAUUACUGACGCUGAGGAGCGAAAGCGUGGGGAGCGAACAGGAUUAGAUACCCUGGUAGUCCACGCCGUAAACGGUGGGAACUAGGUGUUGGCGACAUUCCACGUCGUCGGUGCCGCAGCUAACGCAUUAAGUUCCCCGCCUGGGGAGUACGGCCGCAAGGCUAAAACUUAAAUGAAUUGACGG
rnacentral:rRNA from 1 species